rnacentral:rRNA from 1 species
UUAAGCGACUAAGCGUACACGGUGGAUGCCCUGGCAGUCAGAGGCGAUGAAGGACGUGCUAAUCUGCGAAAAGCGCCGGCGAGGUGAUAUGAACCCUUGACCCGGCGAUGUCCGAAUGGGGAAACCCAGUGCAAUCCGUUGCACUAUCGUUAACUGAAUACAUAGGUUAACGAGGCGAACCGGGGGAACUGAAACAUCUAAGUACCCCGAGGAAAAGAAAUCAACCGAGAUUCCCCCAGUAGCGGCGAGCGAACGGGGAGCAGCCCAGAGUCUGAAUCAGCUUGUGUGUUAGUGGAAGCGUCUGGAAAGUCGCACGGUACAGGGUGAAAGUCCCGUACACGAAAAUGCACAGGCUGUGAACUCGAAGAGUAGGGCGGGACACGUGGUAUCCUGUCUGAAUAUGGGGGGACCAUCCUCCAAGGCUAAAUACUCCUGACUGACCGAUAGUGAACCAGUACCGUGAGGGAAAGGCGAAAAGAACCCCGGCGAGGGGAGUGAAAAAGAACCUGAAACCGUGUACGUACAAGCAGUGGGAGCACCUUCGGGUGUGACUGCGUACCUUUUGUAUAAUGGGUCAGCGACUUAUAUUCUGUAGCAAGGUUAACCGUAUAGGGGAGCCGAAGGGAAACCGAGUCUUAACUGGGCGUUAAGUUGCAGGGUAUAGACCCGAAACCCGGUGAUCUAGCCAUGGGCAGGUUGAAGGUUGGGUAACACUAACUGGAGGACCGAACCGACUAAUGUUGAAAAAUUAGCGGAUGACCUGUGGCUGGGGGUGAAAGGCCAAUCAAACCGGGAGAUAGCUGGUUCUCCCCGAAAGCUAUUUAGGUAGCGCCUCGUGAACUCAUCUUCGGGGGUAGAGCACUGUUUCGGCUAGGGGGCCAUCCCGGCUUACCAACCCGAUGCAAACUACGAAUACCGAAGAAUGUUAUCACGGGAGACACACGGCGGGUGCUAACGUCCGUCGUGAAGAGGGAAACAACCCAGACCGCCAGCUAAGGUCCCAAAGUCAUGGUUAAGUGGGAAACGAUGUGGGAAGGCCCAGACAGCCAGGAUGUUGGCUUAGAAGCAGCCAUCAUUUAAAGAAAGCGUAAUAGCUCACUGGUCGAGUCGGCCUGCGCGGAAGAUGUAACGGGGCUAAACCAUGCACCGAAGCUGCGGCAGCGACGCUUAUGCGUUGUUGGGUAGGGGAGCGUUCUGUAAGCCGUUGAAGGUGGCCUGUGAGGGUUGCUGGAGGUAUCAGAAGUGCGAAUGCUGACAUAAGUAACGAUAAAGCGGGUGAAAAGCCCGCUCGCCGGAAGACCAAGGGUUCCUGUCCAACGUUAAUCGGGGCAGGGUGAGUCGACCCCUAAGGCGAGGCCGAAAGGCGUAGUCGAUGGGAAACAGGUUAAUAUUCCUGUACUUGGUGUUACUGCGAAGGGGGGACGGAGAAGGCUAUGUUAGCCGGGCGACGGUUGUCCCGGUUUAAGCAUGUAGGCGGAGGUUCCAGGUAAAUCCGGUACCUUUUAACGCUGAGGUGUGAUGACGAGGCACUACGGUGCUGAAGUAACAAAUGCCCUGCUUCCAGGAAAAGCCUCUAAGCAUCAGGUAACACGAAAUCGUACCCCAAACCGACACAGGUGGUCAGGUAGAGAAUACCAAGGCGCUUGAGAGAACUCGGGUGAAGGAACUAGGCAAAAUGGUGCCGUAACUUCGGGAGAAGGCACGCUGAUAUGUAGGUGAAGCCCCUGCGGGUGGAGCUGAAAUCAGUCGAAGAUACCAGCUGGCUGCAACUGUUUAUUAAAAACACAGCACUGUGCAAACACGAAAGUGGACGUAUACGGUGUGACGCCUGCCCGGUGCCGGAAGGUUAAUUGAUGGGGUUAGCGGCAACGCGAAGCUCUUGAUCGAAGCCCCGGUAAACGGCGGCCGUAACUAUAACGGUCCUAAGGUAGCGAAAUUCCUUGUCGGGUAAGUUCCGACCUGCACGAAUGGCGUAAUGAUGGCCAGGCUGUCUCCACCCGAGACUCAGUGAAAUUGAACUCGCUGUGAAGAUGCAGUGUACCCGCGGCAAGACGGAAAGACCCCGUGAACCUUUACUAUAGCUUGACACUGAACACUGGUCCUUGAUGUGUAGGAUAGGUGGGAGGCUUUGAAGCGUGGACGCCAGUCUGCGUGGAGCCGUCCUUGAAAUACCACCCUUUAAUGGCUGGUGUUCUAACGUAGACCCGUAAUCCGGGUUGCGGACAGUGUCUGGUGGGUAGUUUGACUGGGGCGGUCUCCUCCCAAAGAGUAACGGAGGAGCACGAAGGUUAGCUAAUCCUGGUCGGACAUCAGGAGGUUAGUGCAAUGGCAUAAGCUAGCUUGACUGCGAGAGUGACGGCUCGAGCAGGUGCGAAAGCAGGUCAUAGUGAUCCGGUGGUUCUGAAUGGAAGGGCCAUCGCUCAACGGAUAAAAGGUACUCCGGGGAUAACAGGCUGAUACCGCCCAAGAGUUCAUAUCGACGGCGGUGUUUGGCACCUCGAUGUCGGCUCAUCACAUCCUGGGGCUGAAGUAGGUCCCAAGGGUAUGGCUGUUCGCCAUUUAAAGUGGUACGCGAGCUGGGUUUAGAACGUCGUGAGACAGUUCGGUCCCUAUCUGCCGUGGGCGCUGGAGAAUUGAGGGGGGCUGCUCCUAGUACGAGAGGACCGGAGUGGACGCAUCACUGGUGUUCGGGUUGUCAUGCCAAUGGCACUGCCCGGUAGCUAAAUGCGGAAGAGAUAAGUGCUGAAAGCAUCUAAGCACGAAACUUGCCCCGAGAUGAGUUCUCCCUGAGACUUAAAGUCUCCUGAAGGAACGUUGAAGACGACGACGUUGAUAGGUCGGGUGUGUAAGCGCAGCGAUGCGUUGAGCUAACCGAUACUAAUGAACCGUGAGGCUUAACCUU